UAUAGCUCAGCUGGUUAGAGCGCACGCCUGAUAAGCGUGAGGUCGAUGGUUCGAGUCCAUUUAGGCCCA
rnacentral:tRNA from 1 species